GGACCAAGGAGUCUAGCAUGUGCGCGAGUCAUUGGGAUUUUUACUAAACCUAAAGGCGCAAUGAAAGUGAAGGUCCGCCUUGCGCGGACCGAGGGAGGAUGGACCGUUCCGAGGGGCGGCCUCGCACUCCCGGGGCGUCUCGCUCUCAUCGCGAGAAGAGGCGCACCCAGAGCGUACACGCUGGGACCCGAAAGAUGGUGAACUAUGCCUGGUCAGGACGAAGUCAGGGGAAACCCUGAUGGAGGUCCGUAGCGAUUCUGACGUGCAAAUCGAUCGUCGGAACUGGGUAUAGGGGCGAAAGACUAAUCGAACCAUCUAGUAGCUGGUUCCCUCCGAAGUUUCCCUCAGGAUAGCUGGCGCUCGCUUCUCGCGAGUCUCAUUCGGUAAAGCGAAUGAUUAGAGGCAUUGGGGUCGAAACGGCCUCAACCUAUUCUCAAACUUUAAAUGGGUGAGAUCUCCGGCUUGCUUGAACUGUGAAGCCGCGAGAUAUCGGAUCAGAGUGCCAAGUGGGCCACUUUUGGUAAGCAGAACUGGCGCUGUGGGAUGAACCAAACGCAGAGUUAAAGCGCCUAAAUCGACGCUUAUGGGAUACCAUGAAAGGCGUUGGUAACUUAAGACAGCAGGACGGUGGCCAUGGAAGUCGGA
rnacentral:rRNA from 3 species